rnacentral:rRNA from 1 species
UACGGAGGGGGCGAGCGUUAUUCGGAAUUAUUGGGCGUAAAGGGCGCGUAGGCGGCUGUACAAGUCAAAGGUGAAAUCCCUCGGCUCAACUGAGGAACUGCCUUUGAAACUGUACGGCUUGAGGCCGGGAGGGGGUAGCGGAAUUCCCAGUGUAGCGGUGAAAUGCGUAGAUACUGGGAGGAACACCAGUGGCGAAGGCGGCUACCUGGACCGGUUCUGACGCUCAGGCGCGAUAGCGUGGGGAUCAAACAGG